UGAGAAAAGGGAAUUAUCGCUGGUCGUUUUAAGCUCUUAAUGAGUGGCAACGGCUGGAGGAAGGUCCGGACACCUGAGACGUUCGUAGCGGGUAACGCCCGUCCAUCGCAAGGUGAGGACAAGUGCAACAGAAAGUAUGUACGGCAAUCAAAACCACUGAUCUAGAUUCUUUUUCCUCUUUGGUCUCCUUUUGGUUUGGUUUUAUUUUUUGGCCUUUUUAGUCGGUUUUGGUUGUGCUGUAGUGAAAUCAGGUAAACUCUACGAGGUGCAAGCCUAUGUAGGCCAACGCUAAUGGUUCGUCUCCCAAAUGUUGGCGGGUAAGGCGCUGGAGACCAACAGUAAUGUCGGUCCUAGAGGAAUGAUAAUUGAAAACAGAAUCCGGCCUACCCCUUCUCUCAGUCU
rnacentral:RNase_P_RNA from 1 species